AAUAAGUUGUGGAUAAGUAAAUAAUACUUGUGGAUCUUUCGAAAUGUGUGGAUAAAAAGUGACUUAAGUGUUUAUAAACAGUUUAUGAACAUGAGCCAAACAUAGGCUAAGUAAAGGUCAUGAAGAUGUGUAUUACAUAAUAUUAGGCUAAUUAUGCUAUAUGUACAUAGCAGGUCAUUAGAUGACGAGAUAUCGACAUAAUUAAUCAUAGCAGAAAUAUAUAUACUAAAAUGAGUGUG
rnacentral:lncRNA from 1 species